rnacentral:lncRNA from 1 species
UUCUCCCUCUUGGAACGUCACCUUGUGGUGUGCAUAUCAUGAGGCGCACGGUCUGGUCUGCGGUUAGGACGCAGCUACCUUAUCCCACGUCCCCACGGUCAAACUGAUCCACAUGAGGCGCGCGCCCAACACCCCACGCUCCCGUCUGCACCUGAGGCCGACGCGCAUGUGAUUUUCGGUCCGUGGUCUGGUCGUCGUACACACUCAGACGACCGACGGUUGCGACGGGCAAAUCUGGCCGUCGCCUUCGCAGUUUUUCCAAGCAAAAUCUCCAGAGCAGUACGUUGGGCUGCUAAAAUAAUCGCCAAUUAAUCAAGCAUCAAGCUAGUGCUCGGCGAAAGCAGAGGUAAAAGCCGGCCACUAGCCUCGAUCCGGUCCGAUCUCGAUCGGGCAAUCGAUCCAUCUCUGACGUAACCCAAUCCAAAGUUCAUUCCGGACUGCGACGGCUCUCGUUCCCGGGCUGCUUUCCCGUCUCUUUCGACCGGGAUACAAAGGUACGCGACAUGGUUUAACUGGGCCGAUGGCACUGUUAAUUACUCUAUCUACGUUUGCUUCGAUCGUUCACACAUGCAAUGAAGGUUUAAGGCAGACGAUUAGGCGAGGCAUGACAGGUGUCGUCGAUCAAGGCUGUCACGUACGGUCGGUAUCCUGCAGCCGUGCCCGG